rnacentral:misc_RNA from 1 species
AAACUUGAUGUUAUGAUAAUUGGUUGUUUAUUCAAAGAAUAGUAGACUGUUAUUGCAUUUUGUGAUUUGGGUAUUUUUUUUAAUCUAACUUGGAUUGUGAUAAAGUAAGCGUUGUUUACAUCUGGGCUCACUGCGUGGCCCCAGUUUAUACCAGUAAAAUUGUUUAUAACCUUGUGCAUAGUUGAUGCAAACACUGGUUCAAAAAUAUGAUGAUUUCUGUGGACAAAUUGAUUCGAAAUUGAUUAACGUUCAUCUACUAUUGGUCGUCACAAGGGGGACACCAAGCCAGAAGAAGGUUUUGUUUUACUGUUCAACGUUUUUCUUUAAAAUAUAUCUGCCUUAUUUUUAAAGGUAUUGGCCAAUUUUGUGUUCAUAUUUAAUACUUUUAAAGAAAAUUACAAAAGAUAUUUUUCAUGUUGGGUUUGAGAGAAACCCAGAGAGAGCAAGAGAGAUUUUCUUGGAGAAGAGAGGUGUGUUUAUCCUGACAUUUGUACGUCUUAUGAUUUAUCAAAACUGUGUGAUACAUUUUGCAAUUUUGUUGACCUACUGAAUAAAUUAUUUUUAU